AGGACGAACGCUGGCGGCGUGCUUAACACAUGCAAGUCGGACGGUGAACCACCUUCGGGUGGGGAUCAGCGGCGAACGGGUGAGUAACACGUGAGUAACCUGCCCUUCACUCUGGGAUAACUCCGGGAAACCGGGGCUAAUACUGGAUACGACCUACUCGGGCAUCUGAUGUAGGUGGAAAGAUUUAUCGGUGAGGGAUGGACUCGCGGCCUAUCAGCUUGUUGGUGAGGUAAUGGCUCACCAAGGCGACGACGGGUAGCCGGCCUGAGAGGGCGAUCGGCCACACUGGGACUGAGACACGGCCCAGACUCCUACGGGAGGCAGCAGUGGGGAAUAUUGCACAAGUGGGCGAAAGCCUGAUGCAGCCGGCGCCGCGUGAGGAUGGAAGGCCUUCGGGUGUAAACCUCUUUCGAGCGAGGAAGAAGACGAAAGUGACGGUACCUGCAGGAAGAAGCGACCGGACUAACGUACGU
rnacentral:rRNA from 1 species